AUACGGAGGGUGCAAGCGUUACUCGGAAUCACUGGGCGUAAAGCGCGCGCAGGCGGCUAUUUAAGUUGGAUGUGAAAGCCUACGGCUCAACCGUAGAACUGCAUCCAAAACUAUUUAGCUAGAGUGUGGGAGAGGAAGAUGGAAUUAGUUGUGUAGGGGUAAAAUCCGUAGAGAUAACUAAGAAUACCAAAAGCGAAGGCAAUCUUCUGGAACACUACUGACGCUGAGGCGCGAAAGCGUGGGGAGCAAACGGGAUUAGAUACCCUAGUAGUCC
rnacentral:rRNA from 1 species